rnacentral:rRNA from 1 species
CUAGUAUUAAGGUCCGACCUGCCCAGUGAAAACUUUAAACGGCCGCGGUAUCCUAACCGUGCAAAGGUAGCGCAAUCACUUGCCCCUUAAAUGGGGGCUGGUAUGAACGGUUUAAUGAGGGUCUAACUGUCUCCUGAAGCCAAUCAAUGAACUUGAUAACUCAGUACAAACGCUGAAAUAUAACCAUAAGACGAGAAGACCCUGUGGAACUUCAAGUAUCCUGCUGACAGCCUGAACUAGGGCCCCUCAGCAUAAAACUUCAGUUGGGGCAACUACGGGGUAAAACAAAACCCCCACGAAAAUAACUCACCGUUAUACAACCAGGCCCACACGCCACAGCUUCUGUUCGACCCAGUCCAAACUGAUCACCGAACCAAGCUACCCCAGGGAUAACAGCGCUAUCUCCUUCAAGAGUCCGUAUCGCCAAGGAGGUUUACGACCUCGAUGUUGGAUCAGGACACCCCGGCGGCGCAGCCGCUGCCAAAGGUUCGUUUGUUCAACGAAUAAAGUCCU